GUUUUUAUCAGCUGUUUGGACUCUCAUUCUGACGGCACCCAUUCACUGCAGAGGAUCCACUGCAACACUGUGACCUCUAGCAAUAAAACUGAUGUAAGCAUAAAUAAUAUGAAAGCGAGAAAAGGAAAGAGUCUGUCAGGACCCACUCAGGGUUUAUUCCUCAUCAUCCAACACCAUCAGAAACACCACAGCAGCUCUGAGAGGGAAAAAUAUAAAUAACGAUAUGCAGGUUUGGAAUGAGGAACGAUGGAAUGAAGAUUUCUUCGGAAUGAUAAUUUCUGUUAGAUACUGCCCCCACACAGACUUUUCUGUUUGCAGAACAGAUGGACAUGCUGCAUAUGUAGCGUUCUACAGAUAAGGUUCUACAUACGUACCUAGUGCUGUCUUCAGAAAGCAUCAGGCAGUAGGAAGCUCACAGACAGUUUUGGAGCAGAGCCUGAUGUUUUACACUUCUUUCUCAUAUGCUCUGCUCCUCUUUCCUUUUUUUUUUUUUUUUCUUUUCUUCUUUUCAGCACAAAGUUUGUGUCUGCGAGGCGGCACGCUGCCAGAUCUCACAGCUGCCAGAGCGGGAGGGGGUGUUAAACCGCCACACAACUGGAAUGCAGUCAACAGUCGGCUCCUCGGGCGUCUGUGACGUCACAAUCAGGCAUCUGCAUCGCUGGUGCAAUAAACCUUCACCCUGACCAGUCGUUCACUCUUUUCAGAGUAAACACAGCACACUGCACGUCUCAAGUCACUAUAUCAAUAUCCAAAACCCAAGAGCCUUCAAGAGUUCAAAACUCUAGAAAUUCUGGCAACUUGCAAAAAUAAAUGCAUGAUGGUUUAAUGUUGGAAUGAAGAAAUUGAGAUGUAGAUAUUAGUAAAGCAAUGAUACCGUUGUAGUAUAAAAUUAAAUAAUUUUUAUUAAAGACUUAAUUUUUUCAAUACAGUGCAACAUAAUUAUUACAGUAUAUUUAUUUUGUUUAAUAUUGAUCACAGUGUGUGUGUGUGUGUGUGUU